GCGCUGCCUGCACUGCCUGACCAGAGACUACCUGACCGCCGCUGCCGGAGGAAGCGCGUACGGCCAAUACGCUCCGCAGCAUGAUGGUUGAAAAAGUGCGUCCUUCAGUUCUGGCCGUGGCAGGGUAUGCGGAGAGAUUUGCUGCAUUUCUAAAAUAUCUCUGAAAACAAGCUGCAUUUCAGAAUUGAAACCAGCAUUUCCUUUUCUACUUUAAGAGUGCACGCAGGAAGCCAUUGGGCACACCAAGGUGAACUCUUCUACUCUUUUGAACAACCUCUGAGCAAAUGACCCAUACAUGUGUUAUCUCGAGCCCUGACUUCUCAUUGGAGCUCCGGAACCAUAUAUCUAGCUGCUGAUUCAACAUUGGCACUUGACUCAAAGACUUCUCCCAGAUAACCUGUCUAAGACUUCACUUGUGGUCUUCUCCCUUAUUGUCUUCCAUCCAUUUACAUUUAAGAAGCCAGAAUCCUUGUCCUUACCACAUUCACCUCCCCCUUAUACAAUAAAAU